UACGGAGGGUGCGAGCGUUGUCCGGAAUCACUGGGCGUAAAGGGCGCGUAGGCGGCUUCUUAAGCGUGUGGUGAAAGCUCGGGGCUCAACCUCGAGUCGGCCAUGCGAACUGGGAGGCUUGAGCACUGUAGAGGCAGGUGGAAUUCCGGGUGUAGCGGUGGAAUGCGUAGAGAUCCGGAAGAACACCGGUGGCGAAGGCGGCCUGCUGGGCAGUAGCUGACGCUGAGGAGCGAAAGCAUGGGGAGCGAACAGG
rnacentral:rRNA from 1 species